rnacentral:piRNA from 1 species
UGCCAGCUGCUAGCACCAUUUAAGGC